rnacentral:lncRNA from 1 species
ACCCUGUCUUUCUCGGAGGUUCGAAACGUCACUUUUUUGAAAAUGCUUAAACUUCAAAAAUUCAUAUCUCAGUGAGUUUUUCGAUUUGAGGCCUAAUAUUUUGCAGAAGUUCAUUAUUUGGUGGUCUGAUCAAGAAAAAAUUUAUCAUCAAAAUCCGAGUCGGGCGGUUGCAUGGCUGGUAGGUUCUAUAUGAAUGACCCCAUCAUUGACUUUUAUUUUGGCAGGCCCCUUGAAGAAACAAGAAAUUGAAGGAAAAAUUUGAUGCAAUUUUUGAUUCAACAAAAUACAAUAAAUGUCUUGAAGACACAAGACUGAAGAGAAAAAAUAUGAUACAUGGUAAGCAGCUGUUUGUUUUUGUCAGUUUUUUUGAAUUUUGGUAAUGUUACAGGGUGUAAAAAAACCAAGAACAGCCAAAGAAAUCUAUGUUUUUAAAUCAAAUCUGUUAAAGGUACCAAAUGAUCAUAACUUACAGUUAUUUUCCCAAAAUUUACAAUUACAGCAACCAGCAAACUUUUUUCAAAAAUGCAAAAAUUUAGGUAAAAAAGGAAAGUGAAAGGUCAUCAUUUUUUUAAAUAGGGGAGAAAUUUUGUGGAAAGCCAACGGAAAAAAUAUGGAAAGCCGGUGGCCAGGCGCAUGAGAAUGUGGAAGCUUGGAAGUUUCUGCUUUUUUCCCUGUAUAAGAUGGGAGCAAACAUUUUAGAACACCACAAACAAGAUACCUAGUUUGGGAGAUUCACCAUCAAUAUGUAAGUCUAGCGUGAAUUUUUAUUUGUUUAUUCUGACUCCCAACAGAUGUGAAUAUAAAAAAAGUAAUCUGGUCUACCUGAAGCAGUUCCAGAAUGAUGCUAUCGACAAGCAGAGAGCUCUAGAUGAAACCAAAGCCAAGUUGGUUCAAACCCAAACUGAGAUCGUGGACUUGCAGGAAAAAGAGAAGCCAAUUCAAGAAAAACUCAUUGAGCUGAAAGAACAGGAAAGAAAUGCUACAUCUUUGAACACUAAGAUUGAAGGCAUCAAAGGCAGGUUAAAAGAACUGCUGAAGAGCAAGGACCAUCUCAACAAACUAAUAAUUAAUCGCUUUGAAGGCACGGAUGAGGAACUUCAAGCUGCCAUUGAUUCUUUUGAUGAAGAUCACAGAGUGAAGAAAGAUGAACUAAAACAACUUGAGCCUGAAAAGUCAGAGCUGUUGAAAGAGCAAAAAAAACUAGACAAAGACAUCAGCAAAAAGACAACCAAGUAGGCCAGCUGAGUAAUGCUGAAGAUCAGCACAAGAGUACAAUUGCAAAAUGUAACCAUGAAAUAAACAAUUUGGGGAAAAAACUGGAAUUAGAGGGUAAGUAAUUUUCUUAUAGUGUUUUCUCAGCAAUUCUUCAUGGCAAACUAUGUCCAUUGUACUCACAUAUUGUACGCGGCAGGCAGAGUUAAGUUGUGAGGAACUAAAUUUCAGAAGGAAUUAGAGGAGUCCUACAGGUACAUGGGUUGGUAAGACUCCUACCAACCCAUGUACCUGUAGGAAAAACAGUAUAGUAAGACUCCUAUGGUAGGAGUCUUACUGUACUGUUUUUAACUGACGAUUAACUAAUUUCAUGUUCUCUUGAGUCUAUUAUAAAAAUUUCCAAAACAUUUCAUCGUGUAAUUUUACUGUAUCAAAUUUCACAGACUUUUGUAUAUCUUUGUUCAAUCAUUCAAAUGUUUUAACAUAUUCACUGUGGAGAAAAGUUAUUACUAUUUGCUUGGUCAUAAAGAUAAGCCAGAUCACAUACAGAAUUUGAACCUAUUUUUUUACAAUGGAUUCUUUGAAAGCAGGGGAUGAAAUGAUCUCCCUGAAAUUUUUUCCAGUUCGAUUGAAAUUGAGAACAUGUAUCUAUAUGCAUUUUGAAUCUGAAUUUACGUUUGCGCAGUACCACUCAGCACAUCAUGACGUCACCUAACAGCACUUGGCCAUCAGUCUUUUGAAGCUCCAUUGCGUUUAGUGAAAUUUGUGCUGUGGUGACAUGCAUUUUUCGGCC